rnacentral:rRNA from 1 species
UACGUAGGUGGCAAGCGUUACUCGGAAUCACUAGGCGUAAAGCGCAGGUAGGCGGUUUGGUAAGUCUUUUGUGAAAGCUCCCGGCUUAACUGGGAGAGGCCAAAGGAAACUACCGGACUUGAGUGUGGUAGGGGAUACUGGAAUUCCUGGUGUAGCGGUGAAAUGCGUAGAUAUCAGGAGGAAUACCUAUGGCGAAAGCAGGUAUCUGGGCCAUCACUGACGCUGAGCUGCGAAAGCUAGGGGAG